rnacentral:rRNA from 1 species
GAUGAACGCUGGCGGCGUGCCUAAUACAUGCAAGUCGAGCGAAUGGAUUAAGAGCUUGCUCUUAUGAAGUUAGCGGCGGACGGGUGAGUAACACGUGGGUAACCUGCCCAUAAGACUGGGAUAACUCCGGGAAACCGGGGCUAAUACCGGAUAACAUUUUGAACCGCAUGGUUCGAAAUUGAUAGGCGGCUUCGGCUGUCACUUAUGUAUGGACCCGCGUCGCAUUAGCUAGUUGGUGAGGUAACGGCUCACCAAGGAAACGAUGCGUAGCCGACCUGAGAGGGUGAUCGGCCACACUGGGACUGAGACACGGCCCGGACUCCUACGGGAGGCAGCAGUAGGGAAUCUUCCGCAAUGGACGAAAGUCUGACGGAGCAACGCCGCGUGAGUGAUGAAGGCUUUCGGGUCGUAAAACUCUGUUGUUAGGGAAGAACAAGUGCUAGUUGAAUAAGCUGGCACCUUGACGGUACCUAACCAGAAAGCCACGGCUAACUACGUGCCAGCCGCCGCCGUAA